CUGCUGCCUAUCAUUGUGAAGCAGAAUUCACUAAGUGUUGGAUUGUUCACCCGCUAAUAGAGCAGGUGGGCAGG
rnacentral:ncRNA from 1 species